GGCCAGAUACCCGGGGCCUGGCUCUAGCUUGGGAGACCCCGGCAUGCUGCAGCCGACCCGAGGACCGGCCAGACAGGCCAAUGCCUGACACUGACCGACGCCCAGAGGAGCUGUCGAGCCUACCCCUCGCCAGCUACCCAGAGGAGCCCAUGGUGCUGGAACCCUCCAAGGAGACCACCCUGACCCAGGAGCAUGGACUGAUUAACACCAGCUUCAUAGGGAGCUUCCUGUUUCCUGCUGCUUCCCUGAACCCACUUGAGAAGAACAAGCUGUCAUGUGCGAUAUUGAUGCGAGUGAUUUAGCAGUUAAUUCAUUAGCAAGAGGCUAACUGGAGAAGUCACCCAAACAGUAGGAGAUGAAGAUGAAAAGCCUCAGAAAAUGUGGACAAAGCCAGGAGAACAAAUGAAAACACAAGUGGCCUGAGGCUUAAUGAGGAGUGGUUCUGAGCUGGAUCUACCAUUCGGUUCUGAGGGGAUGAUUAGACCCACAAAUCACUUAGAGAGAACAAUAAGAAACGCAGGAUUUGAAUCUGGAAGACGUACAACCUGGGCAUUUAAAUUAAACAACUGAGAACCAGGCCUGGCAGGGUGCCUCCAGCUCUCACUGAAGUCAUUGGACAGACUCCCAUUGCCAUCAAUGAGAGCUGAAUUGGGACCCUUGCGAAGAUGUAUUGAACACAGACAAACCCAACAAAAUAAAACCAGAUGAUGCAGCCCACUCAGCACAACCACAGGGAGCUUGUUACGAAACCUUUUAACAAGGCAGUUACUGUGAAAUAGCCAUCCCCAACCCAGACUAAAAAGGCUCAAGGGGAGGACAGAGACAUGGGAGACGAUCCAGGGUGUAGAGCACUUUCAAGACAGAGGGAAACAAUAUAGGGUGGGAAUUGUUUGUACUACAGGGAUCCGAUUAGUCGUGUUGCUUAAUGCAUUGCUUAAAGGGGCUCAGAUCAUAGAAUCAUAGAAUAUCAGGGUUGGAAGGGACCUCAGGAGGUCAUCUAGUCCAACCCUCUGUUCAAAGCAGGACCAAUCCCCAACUAAAUCAUCCCAGCUAGGGCUUUGUCAAGCCUGACCUUAAAACCCUCUAAGGUUUGUCAAUUUAACAAAGAAAUUGAUAUGUAUCAGGCUUGUUAUGCCAAGGGGAGCCUCUGACACACUUCAAACCAAACACAUUGCUUCACCACCCUCCUAGUGAAAAAGUUUUUCCUAAUAUCCAACUUAAACCUCCCGCACUGCCACUUGAGACCAUUACUCCUCGUUCUGUCAUCUGGUACCACUGAGAAUGGGUUACCUAGGGUUGUGUCUCGGACCGGAGAUAUUGGCUAGUGUCAUUUGGUUGCCCAAUCCAAAGAGCAGCUUACAUGCCAGUGGCUGUGUGUGAACAGCCCAGGAGUGGGGGUUCUCACAGUGGAGCAGGGUAAGGCUGGCUCCCAGAGUCAAGGACUGGAAUGACCUAGCAGAUCACCGAUCCAGGUAACACCAGGGGAGAACAUCACAGUAGGUUCUUUGGAAAGGUAGAAAGAAUAGGAUUGGCUGAACAAGCCCAUGCUCUAGAAGUAGGAAUUUCUCUUUGCCCUCACUGCCCAAAUAACUUGGCAUUACCAUUUGUCUGUCAGCUGGGGGCUCUGGGCCGUACCAUAAUGCAAAUAACAGUAACAAUGAAUAAUGGCAGGCUAGUGAGAGGGGAAAAUGGUCGGUCUGAUUUUCCAAGUUACUCAUACUCAUAGACUUUAAGAUCAGAAGGGACCAUUGUGAUCAUCUAGUCUGACCUCCUGCACAUUGCAGACCACAGAAGCUUGACAACCCACUCCUGCAAUAGACCCAUAUCCUCUGGCUGAGUUACUGACAGACACACCUCUGCAGAGAUGUACUAUGAACUCUGUCUUCAUGCUAGCUAUGUUCAUUGACUGGUACAUCCUGGUUCUAAUCAUUCUGGAAAUACCACAAGAACAGCUUCUCUCAUAGUAUUUUGUUAAGGAAUAGAUAAAACUCUUGUAUUUGGAUUGGAUAAUAAUUAACAGAAGUGGUCAGGUACCAGACAAAUAUUGAUUGCACUGGAGGGGGAGAAAAGUUGCUUCUCUAAUAAAUUAUUCUGGAAAA